rnacentral:lncRNA from 1 species
CCUCGGGUUUCCCCUGGAUUUCAAUCCCCCUCCACAUUUAGGGCACACUCCACAGCAAUCUCACUUUUAUUGCACCUGUUUCUCCAAGAUGAAAUGUUUCAAUUUCCUCUGAGGAAAAGUUGAAAAAAUUGGAGCUCGGCCAAAGCCGCCCUCGCUGAAACCUCUCUCCCCUCUUCAGUAAUCGUCCUCGGAUCUCCCCUGUCAUAAAAAAACAGGAGCAAUAUAUAAGAUAUUGAACGGCGCAGGCGGCUGAUAAAACUCCGUUGUUGCCGGCCAACAAUGGGCAGUAUGUGAAUGAAUGAUGGUGAUUUGAUGCUCAGAUUGAAUCCUUGAUCUCAUUAUGACUUUGGAGAGUCUCCAGGGAAACGACAUGAUUGGUUAGUUUGAUGUUCUGAUGUCAAUCUUGGUCGUCAGCUGGAUCUGUGACGCCUGACUGAGGCCUGAUGAAGGGGGAAACCCUCGCUCCUGGAAGAUGUUAGACUUUGUGCGUCCUUCUUGAUCUCUGAUGAUGAUGGAUUAUAAAAGACAUUGUAAUAAUGUGAAUUAAGGUUGUUUUCCUUCUUCUUUCUGUGUAUCUUUGGACGUUUACUCUGCAAACACGCUGUGGCGAAGAUGACAGCUGGAUGUAGACUCAGGGGAGCCAGAACAUACCUCAGCCUGCCUGUUAGUCAUGUUUUCUUGGUCAUUUUCUUCUUGCUGAGUUGUUUUUGACUUUUCUUGUCUCUUAGUUAUCAGUGCUGUGACGUCACCCGAUAGUUACUCAUGGUUGCUCGGAGCUGUGUUAUUAGCUUCCCCUGCUAAAGAAGCACCUUGUCAUUUCCACCCCCGGAGGACUCGCUCCCUCAUGACUGCGGGCGACUUUCUGCUGAAUGGCAGUAGAUUGUUCAGCCUGAGGACGCUUACGCUCACAAUCACUCCAUCAGUCAGCCCACAGACACUUCUUUGCCUUGCAAAUCCGCAACCCAAAUUCAUGCCGGCGCAGGCCUACUUUUUCCGACGUCAUUAGCAAACCGUGAGGCAGCCUGUCAGAAGAUGUGACCGCAGUGUUUGAUAGAAAUCAGAUAAAAGACCUCACAUCCAACAAUAACUGAUGAAUAUCUGGUGAGAUAGAAACAGAGACAUCAAGUUUAACCGACUUUUACCUGAUAAAUGUUGAUUUGAAACUUUAUCGAUCUGAUCACAUCGACCAGGCAUCUUCAAACUAUUCCACAAAGGGCCGUGCAGCUGCAGGUUUGUCUUCCAACCAAGCAGGAGUAGCACACCAGACUUGAUUCAUUUCAUCAGCUGAGCUCAGUCUUCAGAUAGCUGAUUGGCCAGACUGCUUUCUCUUGAUUGGUUGGAAGAGCAUCAGUCAUGCGGCCCUUUGUGGAAUAGUUUGGAGAUGCCCAAGUUACAUAAACCUUAAAACGGAGUGUCUUAGCCUCAGGUUACCAAGAACGAUUUUUAUACAUAACUGGCUCCAUUACUGUUGUCUUGAAUAAAUCCAGACAUGAAAACAGCCUCCUCUUUGUCACGCGGCAGAAUGUUUCCCUGAUCAUCGGCGUGCCCAAUUUCAGUGAUCAUAACUUUUUCUAAUUUUUCUGAAUCCCCAUGAUUUGACACACGAGGGGGAAAAACAGUCAUGAGGAAGGCUUAAGGCUUGAAAAGUUCCUGAUGUGCCUCCUGCUUUGUGACGCUUGUUCUCCUCAGGGAUAUCAGAGAGAUUAAACCAACAGAUAAAUGAAGAGUCACACUUAACAGAGCUCAUAACACUGUUACAUAAGAUGCAUAUUCAACAAACAAUUUCUUUUAAGAUUAAAUUACUUAUUUUAUCACUCUUUUGGAUGGUUGACUAGAGCUAAAAUAAUUGUUUGAAACAUUCAUAUUUUGGUCCAACUCAAUGGAGUGAAAAACUGAGAUUUUUUAAGCUACAAGUGACGAUGAAUAAGUCAUAUAGAUAAGGCCAAAAACACCAGCACCAAAGGAGGAAUCAUCUACUUAAAUGUGACCAUUAAUUGUUAAAUUUAGCUAAUACAGGCAAGCACUUCAUUAAAGCUUUGCCAAAAGGGAAAUUCAAGGUGGACACUUCAGCUGACGGGGUGCAACAGGGUGUAAAACCAGGUCCUCGAUUGAAAGCACCAGAGCUCUGUGCCACUCUGAGCUGCUCUUGGCAUGGCACAAACGCCCUCAUGGUUUUUCUGGAAGUGGUUGUGACUAUGUCGGAGGUGAAAACUGUUCAAAAAAUCCCCAGAGACCGUUCCUAGAGAGAAGGAAGACAGAAAAAGAGAGCACUCAAAGACAAGAGGACUUGUUUUUAGGGAUUUUAUUUCUCUGUCUUAGCUGAUUUUGUCUUCUCUGUUAUCCCGGCUCACAGCAGAAGACAACCUGUAUGGGGGUAAUGAGACUCUGUGGGACUGCUAAGUCAUGCUUUGCUGCUUUUGCACAAAUAAUUUAUUCUUCCUUCAGAGGAAAAAAAAAAAAAGAAAAAAGUGACCCGACCAUGAAGAUUGUGUUCACUGUGAGGCAGAUUGUGAUAUCAUAAAACUCAGAGGACCCUCUUUAGAGCAGUGUGCUUUAUAAUCACCAAUAAAACGAGAAGUACGGUCUUCAGAGAAAUCCCUGAAGCACUUUCUCCAGCUCUGCACAAAGAUGUCUGACUGAACCCUGAAGCUCUUCUUUGGUCUUGGCAUGUUCUCUAGAAAGUAACGAAGAAACAGUCACAUCACACCAUAAAUGCAUUACUGCCCUCUUUGCUGAUGGUCCUCUUAGUAUUUAAAGAUCAUUAAGUUUUGUCGACAUUCAUAUCUUUCUAUGUGAAGAACUUUGAGUAAGAAAACUAGGAUGGCUUUAACUCUGCGCUAAUUAUUGUAAAAUCUCACGGAUGUGUAUCAGUCCGCAGCUGAAAAUAGUCCCUUAAAUGUAUAGUUUUUACAGCAAGCGUGAGUAAAAUCAUUCGCGCGAAUGAAUUACAUGUUAAGUCAAUGCAAAGACGCGAUUAGACGCUCGUACUACUCUGACGGUGCGAAUGAGGCGAAUUUGGCGGGAGCUGAAAAUGUCUCAACUUGAGCGGAUAUUCACGUCACGAUAACCAACCAGCAGAUUGCCAGGUGACGUAUGAAAACUGACAGUUGUUCACUGGUAUCUAAAAUGGAGGACAAAUUGAUCAUGUCGAUGUGAGGGUGAUCCGAAUUAUAAGAUACCUUUUCUGUAAAUUACUGAAACUGGAAUAAAAAGGAGCUCGCCUGGAGGCAAGUGAGUGAGGAGGUCGGACAGGUUAGUCAGAAAAAACCUUUGUCUAUCACUUGAUCCUGCCGCUUGAAUUGGCAGGGAUUACCAUCUAAAUUAGCAUAAACCUUUAUCCACUUAAGAUUUGACGAGCGAAUGAAGCGAAUAAAUACUUUCCAUUCACGCAACUAGAUUCGCGCAAAUUAAGCGAGUUGUUGAGUAUACUUGCGCCUGGUGUGAGCGCCCCAUUAGAGUGUUGAAUUUCAGGUUUUUCUUGAUGUUUUUAUUUUACAAAAACCAAAAUUUUCCCACUUAUUCUCUUCAAAGUUCCUGCUAAAGGUAAAGGUACACCCCACAAGGUCAGAGAGUUAAGUUUAAGAAUAGAAACGUUUCUUCUCUCACGGGGACACAUCCUUCUUCGUACUCCACAAAGACGUUGUGUGUCCUCUACCUUUUGUCGCUCUCUUUCUCCUCAUCUCGCAGACAAACCCAUUCAAGACCCCGUGAUUAAUUAUUUACCCAGGCAAUGAAAUGCCAAAGCCAAGAGAAACACACCACCGGGAGAGGAAAGGUCACACACACACAGAGCGGUGAUGGAUGGCAAUAACAUCUUUAUCGGUGCUUCAGGCAGACACAGUUUUCAUCCUCGUGUCCAAAUAGCAGAGGGACCAAGGGCAAAGCAAAAACUUGACUGAUGAGCUGAAAUCUUCAAGAGAAGCCCUCAUUUAAAAACCACUCACAUGUCAGAGGCGCUGAACCCCCCAAUCGAUAAGUCUCGGACUCUGACAAAGUGUGU